rnacentral:rRNA from 1 species
ACCCGUUGAUCCUGCGGGAGAUCGCUGCUAUUGGAGUUCGAUUAAGCCAUGCAAGUCAGGGAGCAAUCCCGGCGAAAUGCUCAGUAACACGUCGAUAAUCUGCCCUUAGGUCAAGGAUAACCCUGGGAAACUGGGACUAACACUUGAUAGGGUAUUUUUUCUGGAAUGAUUUAUACUUAAAAAGUAAUGCCUAAGGAUGAGUCGGCGGCGGAUUAGGUUGUUGGUGAGGUAAAGGCUCACCAAGCCUUAGAUCCGUAGGGGCCUUGAGAGAGGUGGCCCCGAGAAGGACACUGAGAUACUGGUCCUAGCCCUAAGGGGUGCAGCAGGCGCGAAACCUUUACAAUGUACGAAAGUGUGAUAAGGGAACUCCAAGUGCUUGUACAAUGUACAGGCUUUUGCCAAAUGUAAAUAGUUUGGAGAAUAAGUGGUGGGUAAGACGGGUGCCAGCCGCCGCGGUAACACCUGCGCCACGAGUGGCGAUCACGAUUAUUGGGCCUAAAGCGUCCGUAGCUGGUCUAAUAAAUCUUUUGUGAAAGUGUAGGGCUUAACCUUACGAAUUGCAGGAGACACUAUUAGACUCGGAACCGGUAGGAGUCAGAAGUAUGGAAGGGGUAACGGUAAAAUGUAAUAAUCCCUUCUAGACUACCUGUGGCGAAGGCGUCUGACUAGGACGGAUUCGACAGUGAGGGACGAAAGCCAGGGGAGCGAUCCGGAUUAGAUACCCGAGUAGUCCUGGCUGUAAACACUGCGAGCAAGGUGUUGCGCAUUCUCCGUGAAUGCGCAGUAUCGAAGAGAAGUCGUUAAGCUCGCCGCCUGGGAAGUAUGGUCGCAAGACUGAAACUUAAAGGAAUUGGCGGGGGAGUACCACAAGGUGUGCGGCGUGCGGUUUAAUCUAAUUCAACGCAGAGAAUCUCACCAGAGGCGACGGCAGGAUGAAGGUCAGGCUGAAUGUUUUACCUAACGAGCCGAGAGGUAGUGCAUGGCCGCCGUCAGCUCGUGCCGUAAGGUGUCCAGUUAAGUCUGGUAACGAGCGAGACCUGUAUCUACAAUUGCUAACGACUCAUUUGAGGAUCGAGUACAUUGUGGGGACUGCCUUGGAAACAAGGAGGAAGGCGCAGGCAACGGUAGGUCUGUAUGCUCCGAAUCUUCUGGGCAACACGCGCGCAACAAUGGUAAGGACAAUGGGAUGCGACACUGAAAAGUGAAGCCAAACUCGAAACCUUAUCUAAGUCCGGAUUGAGGGUUGUAACUCACCCUCAUGACGAUGGAAUCCCUAGUAAUCGUGUUUCAACAUAGCACGGUGAAUAUGUCCCUGCUCCUUGCACACACCGCCCGUCAAACCAACCGAGCAGGGUUUAGAUGAGUAUUAGCCUUUUAGUUAGUCCGAAUCUAAGUUCAGUGAGGUGGGUUAAGUCGUCACAAGGUA